AUCCGGCUGACGGGUCCUGAAUGGGAUGAAACACGCGUCCUGGAU
rnacentral:hammerhead_ribozyme from 1 species